AGAGACUGGUAGAUUCCAAGGGGGGACCAAGGCUGAGCUCCUGGAUAACACAGGCCAGAGAACUGACCCCAGUUAAUUCCUGGCCAAAUCUUCGCUUCUCUCCGUAGAGGCAAAAAUUUGUCUGAUAAACGAAAGUGAAACUCCCUGUUUCUCUUAUGUGCUUGUAGUCAGCAGCCCGACUGGUGGGGGUGUGAAGGGAGGUGGGGCUGCCCUGCUGUUUGUAAUUUUUUGUGUUAUCUGCCUAUGGUUUCGUGUAUUCCCAUGGGCUCUAAAUCCAGAACAAACCGACGUGACUCUUGAACUCGAGACUGUGGCCAGCAGAGCUGAACCCACAGAAAUAUGAUUAACAUUAAAUAGAAUAAAAGAUGACACAGGUCACCCCUCCCCCCGCCUCUCUCUUUCUAGGAAGGAUGGUUUUGGGGUGUCUAUUGACCCUGAGCCCAGGUCCUCCUGCCAUUGGCUAAUCACAGUAGGCCAGGAGGGAUCACCAAAAUAGCCCCCCCAAAUAUCCUGAUCGGGGUUUCCUGCCCCCAGCACCUAACAGAUAAGGGGACCUGCAGGAAGCCCUGCUGGAGAACCAGCCCCAUCCACUAGAGUGGCAGCAAUAUGGCCAUAGCUGUGGGGUCGAGGGGCCAGCCCCUGGCUCUGGGGGAAUGUGGGGCAAUCGUGGAGCAAUGGGGAGGUGAUAGCAGGGAGCAGGGUCCUGGAGGAAUGGGGGGAGAUGGUGGUGAGUUGGGAGGGGGGAUCCCAGUUCAGAGAUGUGUCUGUCCCAACCCCUGCCCUGUCCCCGCUCCCCUCACAGA